GAAUUUUCCCCAGUUUUGGGAGUCUAGAAGUAGGGUUUCCAUUUUGAAAAAAGGAGAAUGCCGUUUCAUAUCAAGGUGGAAAGGAAGGACAUUAUUGCCAUUGAGAAUGUGCAAAGAUAAACUAUGAAGAUAUUGCCAGACUGGCUGUGUUUCACCAAUUUGAAAAUUAGACAACUGGAAGAAAGAAAAUAAAGCAG